UGAUGGCAAGAGAAGCAGGGAUUUCACAAAUGCCAACAUUACCUUCAACCUGCAGGAGAAAACCUCAGCCCUUCUUUUCCCCUGACACCUUCAAAUGAAAUCCCAGCAUCCUGAAGUCAACUGGCCUCAGGUCUGCUGUCAGCGCUCAUCUGAGCAGCUUUGAGCUAACGCUGCACUGAAGCUUCGUUUAAGCUCCAGCAUCGCAUCAGGUAAAAACAGCAGCUUCCUCCUGAGAUGGACCUUUGAAGCAGAUUCUCUCCCUGCACCUAUUUUUCAGCAGGAAAUGAUCAGGAUGCUGUGGAGAGUGCUGCUUUUAAGAAUAAUUAAAUUGGCCACAACUGAGACCAGUUUCCAUCAUGACUGAUAAUGUGUUCCUCCUAAUCCCAUCCUGUUUC